rnacentral:lncRNA from 1 species
GUCAGUGAGUAUGAUUUAUUUUUGAUGGCAUAAUGAUAAUCACUGUUUUGCUACAGAGUAACUAGGGAAAACAGGAGAACAGUAUAUAUAAAUAACCCAUGGUGAGGCCAUUUUAACACAACCAAAUAAUCAGUUUUUCCUCUUGACUAUUAAUUUUCUUCUGUCAUAUUUCCCUCAGUAUCAUACACUGUUUCAUCUGUGUGUUUUUUUUAAACCAUGCUCACAUUAACAUACCUAUAAAAUUAAAUGUCUGUAUCUUGAAAGAUAUCAGUGGCCUCAGUAUCAUACACUGUUUCAUCUGUGUGUUUUUUUUUAAACCAUGCUCACAUUAACAUACAUAUAAAAUUAAAUGUCUGUAUUUUGAAAGAUAUCAGUGGCCUGCAUUCAUUGGUUCCCAAACCUGAAAGCUCUACAAGUGAAAUACCUUAAGAAUUUUUGAGCUUCCCUUUCUUUCUAAUACCUGGCUGGAAGAAGAAGUGUUGGAGGCAGAAGAAACACUUUGGUCACGAGGCUGUGAUGAAUGGAAUUUGGGAAGCUCAGAUAAUAAAGGGGAAGCAACAGAGUAUGAUGAGGGUGACCACUGUAACCAUGACAUUUGGGAGUAAGAGGAAAAGACAAAAAGGAGAGGGGCUGUGUUUAAGGGAGAAUUAGGUCAGGAAUACAGGUGAGGAACUCUGUUGUUCUUCCUGAUCCAGCGCUCUUGAGGGUCAGUUUGGGGCAUGAUAAAAUGUCAUGGACUUGCAGCUGAUUCUAACUACACCUAAAAGCCCUUUAACAUGACAAAAAGUCUUUCAUCCCACUAGUG